GCAGUCGAGCGGCAGCACGGGUACUUGUACCUGGUGGCGAGCGGCGGACGGGUGAGUAAUGCCUAGGAAUCUGCCUGGUAGUGGGGGAUAACGUUCGGAAACGAACGCUAAUACCGCAUACGUCCUACGGGAGAAAGCAGGGGACCUUCGGGCCUUGCGCUAUCAGAUGAGCCUAGGUCGGAUUAGCUAGUUGGUGAGGUAAUGGCUCACCAAGGCGACGAUCCGUAACUGGUCUGAGAGGAUGAUCAGUCACACUGGAACUGAGACACGGUCCAGACUCCUACGGGAGGCAGCAGUGGGGAAUAUUGGACAAUGGGCGAAAGCCUGAUCCAGCCAUGCCGCGUGUGUGAAGAAGGUCUUCGGAUUGUAAAGCACUUUAAGUUGGGAGGAAGGGCAGUUACCUAAUACGUAAUUGUUUUGACGUUACCGACAGAAUAAGCACCGGCUAACUCUGUGCCAGCAGCCGCGGUAAUACAGAGGGUGCAAGCGUUAAUCGGAAUUACUGGGCGUAAAGCGCGCGUAGGUGGUUCGUUAAGUUGGAUGUGAAAUCCCCGGGCUCAACCUGGGAACUGCAUUCAAAACUGUCGAGCUAGAGUAUG
rnacentral:rRNA from 1 species